CGGCCUCCUCGCCAAGUGCCGCGAGGUGCGCCAGCAUCUGUGCAAGAUCCCCUGCACAGCCACGCUCCAUCCGUUCCCCACCUGCGGCGAAAGCAGCUAGCUUGUGGAAGGAAGGAAGCUAGCCAAGCUACCCUGCUCCCCACCUCCGGGUGCAUCACGGCCUGAGGCGCCGGCGCUCCCCACCUGCGGGUGCUCCAUCCGUUCAAGAUUCACCGCCGCCGCCGCCGCUCAUCUCCAAGAUCCGCGUUCGCUGAAGGUGGAAGCUAGAUACCGGCCAGUCCAGCUGCAAGGCGACGCAUCCCAAGACCCCGGCCGCCCCAACGUCUCCAAGGCGGAGCUGAAGGAGCGGCUGGCGAAGGUGUACGAGAUCAAGGACCCCAACUGCAUCUUCGUCUUCAAGUUCCGCACCCACUUCGUCUUCAACUGCGAGCUGCGGCGUCACGGCGCACUUCCCCCUCGGUAGCGUGACUGACCUUCCUUGACGAUCUGGUUUGCCUGCUUGUUAGCGGCCUGCAGCGGCACCGCGAACGAAACGGCACGCCCUCCAGUCAGGAGCAACAGCAUGGCAAAUUCUAACUUCCAUUUGGCAUUUGCAAGCAUCAGGCCACCAAUCGAGAAGCUACAAACUUAAUUAGCUUGCCGUGUCGCACUACAUGACUACAAAUUUGAAAUUAGAAGCUUCUAUUUCAAUAUUGUUAGCCAAUUAGCUCCGGUUUGUAACUUCCAGUAUCAUGGUACUAUAGGAUCAUCAAAACGUGAGUGCGUGAGCUGCUCUGUUCAUGCCAUAUCAUAAUGUGUAUUUGCCAAUAGCAUACAUGUGUUUUUGCUUUGCCAUAUCACUUCUGCUAGGAUCAGAAUUAAUCUGAAUUAUAAUGGUAACUGCAUCAUUUUGGGUUCUGAAUUAUACUAGUUUAGGUUUUUCACUUAAUUAAUGCAAGUUUAAUAUUUCAGCAUUUUAUUUAGAUCUAUUAUGCAUUGGUACCAUAAGCUACUGAAAAGCUAGCUAGUCUGAAUUAGAAUGGUAACAAGCACAUGUCCCUGAAUCAAAUUAGCCACAGACCACAGCUAGUCUGAAUUUCUAAAUUAGAAUGGUAACUGCAUCAUUUUUAUUAUCUGAUUGCACUAGAUACAACUGGAAGACGUUUAUUCUGAUUGCAUUAUUUUUAUUUUCAUCAACUUUGUUAGUGUUCCAUAAUCCAUACUUAAAAAAAAGUUUAUUCUGAUUGCACUAGAUACAAAUGGAAGGGGUUUCAGCUGUUCCAGAACUUGUUGCAGAGAGUCAUGAGUCUUUGUCAACUGACCAGUCAAGUCGGUCAUCCAAAAAAAGAGCUAAAAUUUGCUGAAAAUAAUGGUGGCGUUCUUACAGUUUGGUUGGCCUUUUGCAGGACAAGAGGACUACAACAGGCUGAUGCCUCUUAGCUACGGUGCUGAUUUUUAUAGUGUUACAUGCUAUUCUGAACAAUCUUUAUUCUUUGCAAAGGUCACAGUUACAUGCUACUUUAUUCUUUGUUUACUACAUGCAAGGAUAUAAGACUCUGAAAGCAUCUGAAUACUAUUUUAUUCUUUGUUUACUGCACGCAAGGAUACUGAUGUUGGUUUAGGUACUUCUGGCUGCUAGUACUCAGUGCAUUUUAGGUUCAUCAUGCUAGUUUAUGCAUAAUCUCGGCUAUAAGACAUGCUUAAUUGUUAGCUUAUUCUGAACUUUAUUUCUAUAUACAAUAUUUUUCAAGUUUUACAUGUGAAAUUGAUGGCUACUACUUGGGUGAGGUUCAUCUAACCAAACUUCUUUUUGUUAUAGCAGGAUUACAUCAACACUGGUGAUGCUUCCAACAGUGGAGGUUUGGACUUUGCCGGGAGAGAGAUGUUUCUGCAUAGCCCAGCUGCUGACGGCUUGUAGUAGGCUAGCUAAGAGCAGACCAUCUUCAAAUGAAAUCCGAUACUUAUAUUCAUUGUUGACCAAUUUUCUAGUUUAUUUGGUUACUCAUUGUUGACAGCUACUUUGUUUGCUAUUUAUUUGUGACGUGUGGUGGCUGGUACCAACAUGAUACGUAUAUUUGCUUUGUUGAGCCAUGGCCAUGCCGGCUUUAUACUAUUGGCAGAAUGGCAGCUCACGUGCUGCAUGCUGCGAGGUCCA